AUAUAUAAGUCUUAAGGCAUUUAAGAAAUUUACACAUAACAUCCCAGAAUUUUUCAAUUCUACGUUGUUACAAGUACAUCGACGAAAUGGCUAAGCUAUUGAUGCUGUUAUUUCUAGUGGGAUUUUUGGCGAUUACAAUUCUGCCUGAAUUUGCUGAAGCUCAAUAUGGUGACUGUUAUACCACCUGUCGAUAUGGCACUCGUUUCUGUGGGUACUGUAGAAGAUACCCCUACCGACUUCUCAGAUGUUGCGGCGGCGGCGGCGGCGGCGGAGGAGGAGGAGGAGGACGGUACCCAAGGCCAUACUAGUACCAAAUGAUUUCGUCAAGAACACUUAAACAACAAUUGACCAAAACCAGUGUUACCAACAAAUAUGGCGACAGUAAAGAACCAAGAUAAAAUAAGCAAUUCAUUUUAACUUUCUUUUUCUAUUCUUAUCACUUUUCUCCUUAUCAUACAUAAAACACAAAUGGAAUGAAAUUUGAUAAUAAAUGAGAUACAUUA